rnacentral:rRNA from 1 species
UACAGAGGUCUCAAGCGUUGUUCGGAAUUACUGGGCGUAAAGGGCGCGUAGGCGGCCCGUCAAGUCCCGUGUGAAAGCCCCCGGCUCAACCGGGGAACGGCGCGGGAAACUAGCAGGCUUGAGUUCGGGAGAGGGAAGCGGAAUUCCGGGUGUAGCGGUGAAAUGCGCAGAUAUCCGGAGGAACACCGGUGGCGAAGGCGGCUUCCUGGACCGACACUGACGCUGAGGCGCGAAAGCUAGGGGAGCAAACGGG